AACGAACGCUGGCGGCAUGCCUAACACAUGCAAGUCGAACGAGACCUUCGGGUCUAGUGGCGCACGGGUGCGUAACGCGUGGGAACCUUCCCUUAGGUUCGGAAUAACUCCCCGAAAGGGGUGCCAAUACCGGAUAAUGUCUUCGGCCCAAAGAUUUAUCGCCUUUGGUUGGGCCCGCGUUGGAUUAGCUAGUUGGUAGGGUAAAAGCCUACCAAGGCGUCGAUUCAAAGCUGGUCUUGGAGGAUGGUCAGCCACACUGGGACAGGGACACGACCCGAAGUCUUACGGAAGGGAGCAGUGGGGAAUAUUGAACAAUGGGUGAGUGAUGAAUCUAGCAGUGCCGCGUAAGUGAUGAAGGCGUGAGGAUUGUAAGGCUCUUUUACCCGGGAUAUUAUUGAGGGAACCGAGAAAAUAGGCUCGGGCUACCUCCGU
rnacentral:rRNA from 1 species